rnacentral:rRNA from 1 species
GUGCCAGCCGCCGCGGUAAGACGUAGGAUGCAAGCGUUGUCCGGAUUUAUUGGGCGUAAAGAGUUCGUAGGCGGUUUGUUAAGUCUGGUGUUAAAGAUCAGGGCUCAACCCUGGGAUUGCCUUGGAUACUGGCAGACUGGAGUGCGGUAGAGGUAAGUGGAAUUUCUGGUGUAGCGGUGAAAUGCGUAGAUAUCAGAAAGAACACCGGUGGCGUAGGCGACUUACUGGGCCGUAACUGACGCUGAGGAACGAAAGCCAGGGGAGCGAAUGGGAUUAGAUACCCCCGUAGUCC